CUCGAUGUAUGUUGCAUGGACUAACUUUGGCUGUUAACCUCACGAGUUACUAUCUGCCCGUAGAAGUACAUGCGCUUUGAAAGUACGAUUCAGCACAAAAGAUGCAAAUAUAGAAACCAAAUACCGACUACGUCUUCGAUAGGAUACCGAUAUCUCAAGUAAAUGGCGGACGCAUCGAGCUUAUUAAACCCAAGUACUUCGCAUCUUACAAGGCCUCGCGCGUUCGCCCGGGACGCCGACGGGAAUCGCGCGGCGCAACGCGUGCGAGGCGCGGCGGAGCACCGGGAAACCCGCACCUCCGCUUCGCCGGGAGAACGCGAGGAAGCCAUAUUACGCGAAGCACCCCUAGCGAUCUACAGGGUGUCACCAGAAGCACCGUCCACCCCCGACGUCACUCUUCAUCCUUCGCGGAAAAUGCAUUAACUCCAGCCAUGCAAUCGCGACGAAUUGGAGAACAACGCGAAGGGAGAUCCCGCGCACCACCACCACCGCCAAGUUAACCGAGGGCGAAAUCGCUACUCACACUUGCACGGACUGUUUUUUUUCCGUAGGGUCUGC